AAAUUGAAGAGUUUGAUCAUGGCUCAGAUUGAACGCUGGCGGCAGGCCUAACACAUGCAAGUCGAACGGUAGCACAGAGAGCUUGCUCUCGGGUGACGAGUGGCGGACGGGUGAGUAAUGUCUGGGAAACUGCCUGAUGGAGGGGGAUAACUACUGGAAACGGUGGCUAAUACCGCAUAACGUCGCAAGACCAAAGAGGGGGACCUUCGGGCCUCUUGCCAUCAGAUGUGCCCAGAUGGGAUUAGCUAGUUGGUGAGGUAACGGCUCACCAAGGCGACGAUCCCUAGCUGGUCUGAGAGGAUGACCAGCCACACUGGAACUGAGACACGGUCCAGACUCCUACGGGAGGCAGCAGUGGGGAAUAUUGCACAAUGGGCGCAAGCCUGAUGCAGCCAUGCCGCGUGUAUGAAGAAGGCCUUCGGGUUGUAAAGUACUUUCAGCGGGGAGGAAGGUGUUGUGGUUAAUAACCGCAGCAAUUGACGUUACCCGCAGAAGAAGCACCGGCUAACUCCGUGCCAGCAGCCGCGGUAAUACGGAGGGUGCAAGCGUUAAUCGGAAUUACUGGGCGUAAAGCGCACGCAGGCGGUCUGUCAAGUCGGAUGUGAAAUCCCCGGGCUCAACC
rnacentral:rRNA from 1 species